CCCAAAUCUACAGAAUAGUAAAAACUUUGCUUUUUUAAAGCUUUUAAAAUGGAUCUAUAUAUAAACCCUAUUGUGGUCUUUUUGAUAAAUUAAUUAUGUUAAUAUGAUACAUUUGGAAUUCAAAGCCAUGUUUUGAUUAAAGUGAACCUUGUCCUCUUUCAUGUCUUUACAACCUAAGAUAUAUAUCUAUAAGUAUUCCAU
rnacentral:lncRNA from 1 species